GCAAAGAGCUCGCCCUGACGAUUCAUAAAUCCAAAGCAGUUCUAAUUCCCCUUCUCCAAUCCCCAAAUUUACUCGAAGACCAUAGAUAACACCCAGGGGCAGAGGGGGGCUGCUCUUUGGACUUCCAGACCUUUCUCUUCUUGGUUCUCUCUCUUGGGAGAGUUAAAAACAGCUGAGGCUGGAGGUGAACCCCAGAUUCUAAGACCACGGUGGUGCCCGGCAGCCCUAGGUUCCACACCCUAUGUUGGGAACUAUGGCUUCCAGCCCUCAUCUCCCCGUCACAUCUUUGCAGCAGAAUAAGCUGUCUGCGCGUCUCUUCAUAGGAGCGAACACGUCGGGGAUUGCCAGCGAAGGAAAGCGAGUUAGGAGGUAACCACACAGCUGCCCACAGCUCCCUGACUUUUCUCUCCAGCAAGGGUGGAGAUUCGGUGCCACCAGAGAGGGACUGGGGCAAGGUGACCAGUGAAAGAAAAGCUAAGGAUGACAUCUUCACUCAGCAUCAUCAGGAUGUGACCCAUAAAUGCUGCUGAUGGCUCUGUUUAUAUUGAAUGUGGCAUGUGGCAAUUUGAGUGCACCAUGAAGAAGAAAUGGGCAUGAGGCCUUAGCCUUAAGACAGCUUCAGAAAUAGCCACCAUCCUUCAUGUUCCUCCCAGCCCCUCUCCUGUCAUGAGUAAGUGCUCAGCAGAGACUAGAUGUCACAAAUAUCAUGGAGUUUACUAAACUGUUGGAUGAUGGACUUUGGUGGACAGUUUUUCAGUAGAAAAUUAAGGAAGCUGGGUUAGAAAUACUACCAGAAAAUUAUUAGGCCUUUUUUUUAGCACUCAAAAAAAUGGGUAAAAUGGUACAUUUUGGAAAUAUCUGCAGAUGGAGUCGUGAACAGAUGUCAGUGGAGAGACGGGGAACCAGAAGCUGUCUUGAGGAAGGAGGUGGGUCAGGUCCUGGUGGAGGACUGAGUCCAGCCACUGAUAUUCACCAAGGACACGACAGGGUGGGUGGUGCCUGUCAUCCGCUGGCCCCGCCCCUGCGCUCAUGUUCACCAAGGACACGGCAGGGUGGGUGGUGCCUAUCAUCCGCCGGCCCCGCCCCUGCUCUCAUGAACACUUGCGUCAUUGCCGCGGCCUGGCUCCUUGCCCUGAGCUGAGAGCGCCUGGGUGCUGAAGAGCGAGACAGGGAAGCGUGAGCUUGGUGCAAGCGCUGCCUGGCAUUGGAUCAGGCAGCCACCCCUCUUCUGGAGUCGGGUCGCCCUGCUGUGGCCGAGGACCGAGGGAGGGAGCGCAGGCCAGGCUGCCCGCGCAUGGCAAGCCAUAACUUACAGUCGCUUGCAACACUGCCGUAUGAAAGGAAUUGCGAGACUUGUUAAAUGAACCUCUACCUUCCCCGUCCCUCCAGGAGCACUGCUCACAAACAUGCAGUAAUCUCGCAUGGGGACGGAGAACUAGAAAACGUUCUGCCUGUAUUUUAUUCUCAAAUACCCUUGUGUCUUCCCUGUAUUUCAACAUUCCAGCACCCUGGGUGUGUGCAGUGGAGGAAGGGCACCCGGCCGCCAAAGAUGUAAGGUCUCCAUCAGGAAGUCUCCCAGCUCUGCCAAUGCUGGCUUCCCAGCAGCUUCAUUCUGCUGCAACGGAUCACCUCAGCUGCAUGCAUGCGUUCUAUCCUCCUCCCUGGCUGCACAUUGCUGUCUAAGAAAAGCCUCAGCCCUCGACGGCACUAACUAGAUGGUCUUGGGUUUUAAUUUUAUAAAUCGAGAGAAAGGAAUAGAAAGUUUAAAAUAAAGGUUUAAAAUAGCUCCAAACCCAGGGAAACCAGUGUCCUUCUUCGGACUCCUGUAGACACCAGACAGGUACAUGGAGUACAGACAUGCAUGCAGGUAAAAUAUUCAUAAACAUAAAAUAAUUUUUUAAAGAUUUUUGAGGCCUGAAUUUUACAACAUGACUCCUCACAAUUUUUUUCUCUUGGUGAUUUUUGAGGGCCUCAUCACUUAGCUUUGAGUAUGUCUGCUUUCUAAAUUGUCUUGUGUAAAAAUAAGAGUUAAGAAUUAUGCACAAAAAUACCUGCAAAUGAACCUUGAUUAAUAUAGAUAUAGUCGUUCCAUGUUGGGAGGAGUAAGCCUUUGAAAUGUUGUCUGCCAGGAGUGUCUCUCCACGGACACAUUCCAGACUUCUAAAGGAGAUCACAGACCUUCUAGACACGAGCACAAAUCCCACUUUGAGAACACAUCCAUGGGCCUUGGUUGGUAUCCCAUGAUUGGUGUUUCUGAAUGAACAGGGGCAGGAGACAUGUCCUGACACACCAAGUGGAUCCUGGAGGCGACUGCGACAGAGGAGAAGCCCAUUGGAAGGGAAAUCAGGCAGACGCCACAAACCUGUCUGAGAAUAAGAUGCUAAGUGGUUUGACUCUCAUCAACGGAGAUGCCAAGCUGAACGUGGAAAAUUGGUUCAGCUGUUUUUGCGGAUCUGGUUCCCAGUGGUCAACAUCCCAGGGAUAGUUGGUCGGCUCCUGUGGGCGCAAGUAAAGGAGGCAGCAGAGCACAUCGAAGAGGACGUGGUGAUGUUAACCAUCUGUACCGGUGACACAUCUUUCUCCAGUAGACUAUAUGCCCUCAGGAAGUCACAGCAUCAGGCAGAUUCCAACAUCUGAAAAGGCUGCUUAUGGAAGGGCAAUAAAAUAACUUCAACUGCAAAGGAGCUGGGGGUGUCGUUUCAUGGUCCAGUGCUUACUUUGAGGUCCUGGGUUCCAUCCUCACCUGGCCAACUUCUCAACUGGUCUUGUUUCCUCAGACUGGAAGCUUCUGUGUCCUCAUCCAAAUGGAUCUCAGCUGAACUGCUGCUCGAAAGCCUGAAGCUUAACCAGCUAAAAGCUUCUAGUUUCUGGUCCUCACACCUUAUAUACCUUUCUGCUUUCUACCAUCACUCCCUGGGAUUAAAGGCUCGUUUUCUGGGGUUAAAGGCGUGAGUCACCAUGCUUGGCUGUAUCCUUGAACAGAUGGAUUUCUGCCUCUGGAAUGCUAGGAUUAAAGGCGUGUGCUACCACUGCCUAUCCUAAGUAUCCAGUGGCUUUUCUGUUCUCUGACCCCAGAUAAGUUUAUUAGGGUGCACAAUAUUUUGGGGAACACAAUACCACCACAGAUUGGUCUAAUAAAAAACUGAACAGCCAAUAGCAAGGCAGGAGAAGAGGAGGGACUGACAGGCAGAGAGAAUCAAUAGAAGGAAAAAGAGAGAGAGAAGAAGUGAGAAAAGAAGGGGCCAGUUCCACCACACAUGCAACACUCUGAAACAUCUACCAAAUGACAAAAAUAUGACCUUCUCUAAUGGUUCUCAUUACACAAGGGCAAAUUUAAAAGAAAAUAGCCCUCUGCUACACGUGUUCUGCAGCCUCAGGUUGAUCAUGUGCGCAUGGCCAAGGCAUGGUUAGGGAGCCCAUCACACAGUUACCGUAAAAGGUGGGAGUAGUCAAAUCAGUCCCAGUAGCCACGCCCCACCUUCAGCAUCACUGAGCCCACAGACACUACCACAACCUUCAGUCAGCGUAGUCUCACUCACAAGGCUGCACACACUGCUUCCCAGCGUGAAUGUUUUCUUUUCUCUUCUCUUGUUUGCAAUUUUAUUUGUCCCUUUAAAAAUUAUUAGUGGCCGGGCAGUGGUGGCGCACGCCUUUAAUCUCAGCACUUGGGAGGCAGAGGCAAGAGGAUCUCUGUGAGUUCGAGGCCAGUCUGGGCUACAGAGUGAGUUCCAGGAAAGGCGCAAAGCUACACAGAGAAACCCUGUCUCAAAAAAAAAACAGAAAAAAAAUUAAAAAUAAAUUAUUAGUGUACAUUCAUUGUAAGAAGCCAUAGGCUUCAGACCAUAUUAGUUCAAGCACGGUAUCUUCUUUGUCUGUAGUCAUGGCAACAGCCUUCCUUGUCCCUCCUUCCUUCCUCCCCUUCUCAGGUAGUUCCCCAUAUGUUUUCAUGUAUAAUGUGUAUCUGUGCUGUGCGCAUACAAUUUAGGUUCCACAUAUGAAAUACAGAACAAGAUAGUCAUCUUUCUGAGCUUGGCUUAUUUUCCUUCACAUCAGGUUCUCUGCAGACAUAAUGUUGUUUUCUUAAUGGCUGAAUAAAUCAACAUUAUCUUUACUCAUGCACUGACGGACAUGUGGACUGGUUCCAUGGCUUAGUCAUUGGAUAUAGUGCCGUGCCCUUGGAAAAGCUGGUGUCCCUGAGGUGGGAUUGGUUGGCCCUGUUGUUUGGGGGUCUGUGUCAGCCUGUCGUGGUGGAAACACAUGCUGGAGCAAAGCCACUCAUCUUGUGCCCAGAAACAAAAGAGAAGAAGAAAGGCAAGGGUCUGGCAACUCCCUCAGUGUCAGGUCCCUGAGGACCUAAAGACACCCGACUAAGUCUCACAGCUUGGAUACUCUGUCACCUCUCAAUAGUACCCUGGAGACUGACAUCCAGCCAGGCGGUGGUGGCACACGCCUUUAAUCCCAGCACUCGGGAGGCAGAGCCAGGUGGAUCUCUAUGAGUUCGAGGACAGCCUGGGCUACAGAGCGAGAUCCAGGAAAGGUGCAAAGCUACACAAAGAAACCCUGUCUCAAGAAAAUAAAAAAAAAAAAAAGAAUCCAUACUAUAUACUGCCUGAAAUCUGUCCUUCCUGACCUCCAUGAAGUUCUGUACAUAUCUUCUAAAGUCUGUGUGACUGCCAAGUUUUAGUAAUCUUGGCAUCCCUGGAGAAGCACGCACAUAUCCAGAACACUGUUCCAUCUGAUUUUCUAAAAUCAGCCCAGACUUCCUGCUUCUAACAACCUAAUUGGUCACAACCUAGAUAUCCCAUGCUUAGGAAGUUGGCGCCUGCUCUGUGCCUGCCACAUGGUAGGCAGGAGAGGAAGGCUGUCCUCAGCUAUUGUGGAUGGUGACAGAGCUUCCCCCAAGCAGGGCAGCCAGAAGCAGAGUGGGGCCUUGACUCAUCUCUCACAGCCCACAAGUGUUCCUCUUCUGCCUCUGCCUGGAGUCCUUCCAAUGGGUGACAUUUUCAGGUCUGUGUUUUAUACACACACGCACAUACAUACACCACACACACACACACACACACACACACACACACACACACACACACACACAAAACCACGUCUCCAGAUGUCCCCCAAAAUGACUCUUAAAGACUCAGUCAGUUGUGUAGCUCCGACUUCUCUGCUCAGUCCCUCUGUGGUGGUUCGAGUGAAAAUGGCCUCCACAAGCUCAUAUAUUUGAACGCUUAGUUCCCAGUUAGUGGAACUGUUUGGGAAGGAUUAGGGGGUGUGGGGGUGUGGCCUUGUUGAAGGAGAUGUGUGUCACUGGAGGUGGGGUUUGAGGUUUCAAAAGCCAUGCCAGACCCAGUCUGCCUGUCUGUCUGUCUUUCCUCCUCCUCCUCCUCCUCCUCCUCCUCCUCCUCCUCCUCCUCCUCCUGCCUUCAGAUCAGGAUGUAAGCUCUCAGCUACUUCUCCAGCACUAUGCCUCCUGUACCUCCUGCCACAACACUCCCCACCAUGACACUCAUGACUCAGCCUCUGAGACCGUAAGCAAGCCCCAAACUAAAUACUUUCUUCUAAAAGUUGUCUUGGUCACGGUGCCUCCUCACAGCAAUGGAACAGUAAGGAAAACACUCUCUACCUUCUCCCUUCUGCUUAAAGUAAAACACUGACACUUUGUGGCGGUGAGGAGUCCUGGUAGACUCUCCCAACAACUUCCCCAUCACAGUUGAGAUGUUGCUGCUCCGGCUGCCCCAGGCCCCUCAGGGCAUAGCUCAACCCCAGGGCCUCCAGCUGCUCACCCCACUGCCUGGCCACUCCUCCCACCACAUCUGUGUGGCUCGGUUCUCACCUCCUCAGGGCAUUGUUCAGAUGACUGUGUCAAGGAAGCCUAUACCAGGAUCACCUGCUGAUUCCCACCUUUCCCCUCCCAAAAGCCCUUCCAACCCCCAGACUCUGCUAUCUGCAUAGCAUCUCUGUCCCAGGCAAAACACCUUACCUGUGUCUGAUUUUUAUUUCUGCCUCAGCCACUAGGUCAACUCAAGGAUAGGCAAUAUCAUUUCCUCUGUACACUGACUUUAUGCAAGUGUGUGGAACACCACCUGCCUGUAGUGGGUAGCCAUUCCAGCUUUGAUCUGGAAGUUCCAACCCCCAUUGAGGCUUCAGUAACUGUCAUGCCUACAAGGCGGGGCCAAGAGAGGCCCUGAAGACCUGAGAUCUGGAUGCGCUGGCUCUCUUGGUUCCUGGAAUCUGGACGCUGGAGGUAGACCGAGCAGAGUUCUCCAGAGAACACCGCAGGACUGCGCCACACCUUUCCCAGACCCUGUUGCCUAUCCCUUCACUUGUAAGUUACCCCACAAAAUAAACCUCCCUUUUAACUACGUGGAGAGCCUUAAUAAUUUCACCAAUACCUGCCCUCUCCCGUGUGCCCAAUAAUCAUGAAAUCUCUGGUGAUGUAGGGACACCCUCUCUCUGAGCUUUCACUGCCCUUCUUCAGGGGCCACUAUCAAUCUGUAAAAUCACCCCAUGCUCACCCCCAGGUGGGAAGGUCAAGUUCUUGGCCCCUGCCUGAACUCACAGAAUCAUUUGUUUCCCAAAGCUGUGGAUUCAAUGAUAUCACUGCGGCGUUCAAACCUGAUUUAAGUUUCUGCAGCUUCCUGACUUACAUAACCAAGGAGAAUGGGUUUAGAAGGACACCCUCUCUCCCGGGCUUGCGCGAGCACAGAAGACAGCCUGCAUCUGAGAGCGACGCUGUCAGUGGCACUGUGCAAACAUCUCUGCACUCAGCGCAGCCUGCACAGUUGGCUGGCCCAGCUGGUCUGCAGCAUCCGGGGGCGGCUCAUCUUGCUGACGUCAAUUGGCAGAGCCCACCUGCUAGAAGCUCACCCUCUGCCUGCCUCCUACACACUCCUUUCUUGCAUCCAGCCCUGUCAUCCAGCCUCUGCUUCUUAGUCCGGUCCUCAGAUUGCCUCCAAUGUCUUAAAGGACAUGUGUGUCCUUUCCAGACUCCUGGGUCAUGCUACUCCGAGCCUGUGGCAACACAAGAACAAAACCAGCACUGGAGCCGAGUGGGAACAGCCCAAGCUCACACGACACAUUCAUUUCUCAAGAUAGGUGGAUGCUAAAGGUCUCGAGCCAGUUUUAUUUUUUAUCAGAAAGGAGAAUGGAGAUUUUGCUCAGGCAGCUGCCAGGAAGCACCAAGCACCAAGGACAUUAUGACAAUGGAUGGAUCAAUUCUCUUUGUUUGCAUGCUAAGGUCUGUGGAUUUGUCCUUUGUUUUUCAGCCUGUGUGCAAAGAACAAUCAUUACCUCAGUUGGACUUACUCAAGGGGACACCUCUGUGCCACCGAUAUGUGCGAAUAAAUCCACAGUGAUGACAUUUCGGGGGACCCCUGGGCAGGAGAACAAAACUAGUACUAAUUCACCAUGUAGAAAGGAAAUGUUUUCUUACAGUAAUCUCAUUUGUGCUAGCAUUUACUUUAGACCCAAACCUCUCCCGUUAUGUUGGCAAUCUGAUUCAAUUCCUGCAGAAGUGUCGUACCCUGAAUCUCAGAAAAAGAAAAGGCAGCCAACCGAGGCAGGGUGAGAAGCCACCUCGGCAGGUGAGACUCAGCUCCUCUGGCUCGGGGACACCUCUGUAGGAGCUCCUUUCCCAUUCCAGGGAACAUCUGCCUACCUCAUCUCUCCCUCGAUUUCCAGUUCCCUCAUUUGUGCUCAGCUUCACCUCAUUCAGGGAGUUUCACACAAAAGUACAGAGUGAUUUUUUAACUUGGACGUGCUGUCUGUACCUUUCGGGGUUUCUUCUGUCCUCUUCCAUGUUAGCUGCGGACUGCCCAGGACACACCUCCUCUCUGGGUUUUUAGCCCCACUUUGCGCUGAAGUUUUGGGGGCACUUGAGCUGGCCCUUCAUUUGCUGAGUCCCAUAGCUUCUGUCUCAUUUCCCGUUCCUGAAUCCUCUCGGUAAGAUACCCCACCUCGGUCCUUUACUGUGGAUCCCUCCCGAAGUCCCAUGCUUGGGAAAAGGCUAGCAAGCAGAUAGGCCUGCACACAUCCGUGCUGGUGUUUCCCAGAUCUUAAGGUGCCCAGUAGCCAGCGUGGCCUCUCGGAAACCCCUCCCUCAUCCCUCUCCUCAUCUGCUGCCCCUAUGCUCCGUGGACCUGACUCAUCUAAACCUUCAGUGUCGGCAGCUCCUUCUCACCGAGAUCUUGUCUGUGUGCCAUCAUGUGUCCUGUCGGAAAAAGUGUUUGUUGAUAAAAGUCUGUAAAAUUUUCUCAUUAAUUUCAAUGAUCGUUUCAGACAUGUGGUGCUAUAGGAAGAAAACUUGCAUUAAGGAAGAGAAAAAAAAAAUCACAUUAGCUAUCGUGAAACUUGCCCCUCAGUACAUGUGAUCUUUGUUCAUUCACAGACAUUAUUUCCAGGUGGAAGGCAUUUCUCCAAGGUUGAAUAAGUACAGGAUCGGACGGGUCCAUCAAAAUUCAGGCACCGUCAUGGGAUAAGGCCGUGUGGAGAACAACUCUGAACGCCACAGGGCUUCUAGAGUAGUCUUAGAUAUUAUAAGAGACUUGUCUGCUUGCCACAUUCAUUCAAGAUAAAAAGCUUUGCUGGAUAGUAAUUGUGAAGGUUAGAUUAAAAAUCAAGCAAAGAACACUCCCCCCCCCCCAAAAAAAAACUCACUCCUCUGAGAUACUGACCUCAGUCCUCUCCCUUGAUCCGUUCCCAAGUUCCACAGCUGGAUGACAUUUUCUAAGUGUCACACUAAGUGGGCCAUCUAACAGCAGCUUACAGAUGUUCAAACUUUGAAAUUCCAAAGGAUCCUGCACUGUAAUUCCAUGGUCAGGAGCCCAAGUGAGUCUGCCCUGGACACGUUAAAGGAGGGUUCAACAAAGAUAAGCAAGGUUGGUCCUGAGGCAGCCAAAACCAUGGUGGGAUCCCUCAGCACCUUCUUCAAGAGAUCCUGGUGAAGCGGCAGACGUGUGAGCACCCAGGAUGUCAGGGGAAGGAGGAAGAAACCUAAAGAACAGAGAAGUCUGAGACAGCUGGCGACAUUGUGCUUCAAAAGUGCAAAACACGGAGCUGGAGAGAUGGCGUAGCACUGGGAACGCUGGGUCUCUGCGGAGGACCCGGGUUCAAUGUCUAGCACACCGUGGCUCACAACCACUCCCGUUUCAGGGCACCCACCUAUCACCCUCUUCUGUCCUCCAAGGGCACCAGGAAUGCACAUACACACAUGCAGGCAAGACACUCACACACAAAAUAAAAUUUGGGGGAAAAAAGAGACAAAAGGAGACACAAUAUCUACCUUCAGAUGGUUAAAGAUCUGUAGCAUGAAUCUUAAAUGGUCUUAUUAAUAAGAUCAAACCCGGAGCUGGGUAUUGGGGUGAACGCUGGAAGAUCAGAGAAGCAGAACAAGCCACAGCCACCUCACCUGGCCAGUUCCUCAGCUGAUCCUGUUUCCUCAGACUGGAAGCUUCUGAGUCCUCAUCCAGAAUGAAUCUCAGCUGAACUGCUGCUAAAAGCCUAAAAGCUUAACCAGCCUAGUUCCUGGUCCUCACGCCUUAUAUACCUUUCUGCUUUCUGCCACCACUUCCUGGGAUUAAAGGUGUGAGUCAUCAUGCCUGGUUGUUUCCAGUGUAGCUUUGAACUCACAAAGAUCCGGAUGGAUCUCUGCCUCUGGAAUGCUAGGAUUAAAGGCGUGUGCUACCACUGCCUAACCUCUGUGUUUAAUAUUAUGGCUGCUCUGUUCUCCGACCCCCAGAUAAGUUUAUUGGGGUGCACGAUAUAUCAAGCACAAAGAUCUCAACACAAUAAAAGGAACAGCCUGACUUAGGCACAAGUUCAGUUGGUACAGUGCUUCUCAAGCAUGAGGUCCCAAGUUCAGUCCCCUGAAUCCAUGUAAAAAAUAAAAUAAAAAUGAAAAGCAGGCCUAGGGGCUUGAGUUUGUAAUCUCAGCACUGGGAAGACAGAGACAGGAGGAUUCCUGGGAUCUGGUGGCCAGCCAACCUAACUGUGGUGGUUUGAAUAAGGAUGGCCCCUAUAAGUUCAUGUAUUUGAUGACUGGUCACCAGAUAGUGGAACUGUUUUAAAAGAUUACAAGGAUUAGGAGGUGUGGCCUUGCUGGAGUAGAUGUGGCCUUGUUGAAGGGAGUGUGUUGCUGGGGGCGGGCUUUCUAAAGCCCAUAUCAAGCCUGUCUGUCUGUCUGUCUGUCUGUUCUCUCUCUCUCUCUCUGCCUUUGGAUCAGAUUGUAGUUCUCAGCUCCUGCUCCAGUACCAUGCUCCCCGCCAUGAUGAAAAUGGACCAAACCUCUGAAACUAUAAGCAAAUCCCCAAUUAAACGCUUUCCUUCCCAAGA